UACGGAGGGUGCUAGCGUUGUCCGGAAUCAUUGGGUGUAAAGGGUGCGUAGGCGGGUUUUUAAGUCUGGGGUGAAAGGCAGCGGCUCAACCGUUGGAUUGCCCUGGAUACUGGAGACCUUGAGUAUAACAUAGGCCGGUAGAACUCGUGGUGUAGCGGUGAAAUGCAUAGAUAUCACGAAGAAUACCAGUGGCGUAGGCGGCCGGCUGGGUUAUAACUGACGCUGAGGCACGAGAGCGUGGGGAGCAAAC
rnacentral:rRNA from 1 species